GCAGGUCGAAAGGAACCCGAAGCCUCUGGAGCGCAGCGGGAGUUCCCACUGUGCUCCAGAGGCUUCAGGUUCCCUUCACUGAAGC
rnacentral:miRNA from 1 species